GCCUAUAACAAAGAUUUCCCUGGACGUGCCGAUCUUGGCAGAUCACAGAAGCUAAGCAGGCUUGAAGCUGGGGUGGUACUUUGAUGGGGGACUGCCCAGGAAUACCAGGUGUUGUAGGCU
rnacentral:rRNA from 1 species